rnacentral:rRNA from 1 species
GAUGAACGCUAGCGGCAGGCUUAACACAUGCAAGUCGAGGGGUAGAGGUUGCUUGCAACCUUGAGACCGCCGCACGGGUGCGUAACGCGUAUGCUACCUACCUUUUACAGAGGGAUAGCCCAGAGAAAUUUGGAUCAAUACCUCAUAGUAUAUAACCUUCGCAUGUUGGUUAUAUUAAAGUUCCAACGGUAAAAGAUGGGCAUGCGUCCUAUUAGCUAGAUGGUAAGGUAACGGCUUACCAUGGCAACGAUAGGUAGGGGUCCUGAGAGGGAGAUCCCCCACACUGGAACUGAGACACGGACCAGACUCCUACGGGGUGCAGCAGUGAGGAAUAUUGGACAAUGGGCGCAAGCAUGAUCCAGCCAUGCCGCGUGCAGGAAGAAGCAACUAUGGUGUGUAAACUGCUUUUGUACAGGAAGAAACACCCCGACGUGUCGGGGCUUGACGGUACUGUAAGAAUAAGGAUCGGCUAACUCCGUGCCAGCAGCCGCCGUAA